rnacentral:rRNA from 1 species
GAUGAACGCUGGCGGCGUGCCUAAUACAUGCAAGUCGAGCGAACAGACGAGGAGCUUGCUCCUCUGACGUUAGCGGCGGACGGGUGAGUAACACGUGGAUAACCUACCUAUAAGCCUGGGAUAACUUCGGGAAACCGGAGCUAAUACCGGAUAAUCUAUUGAACCGCAUGGUUCAAUAGUGAAAGACCGUUUUGCUGUCACUUAUAGAUGGAUCCGCGCCGCAUUAGCUAGUUGGUAAGGUAACGGCUUACCAAGGCAACGAUGGGUAGCCGACGUGGGCGGGGGAUCGGCCACACUGGAACUGGGACACGGUCCAGACUCCGACGGGAGGCAGCGGUAGGGAAUCGUCCGCAAUGGGCGAAAGCUUGACGGAGCAACGCCGCGUGAGUGAUGAAGGGCUUCGGAUCGGAAAACUCUGUUAUUAGGGAAGAACAAAUGUGUAAGUAACUAUGCACGUCUUGACGGUACCUAAUCAGAAAGCCACGGCUAACUACGUG